rnacentral:rRNA from 1 species
AGAGUUGUAAGUCCUCGGCUCAGGAUGAACGCUCGGCGGCGUCGCUUAACACAUGCAAGUCGAACGGGGAGUAAGGAGGGCUUGCUUCCUUAUCCAAGUGGCGGGACGGGUGGAGUAACGGCGUGGAGUAACCUAGGCCCAUACAGGGGGAUAGCAGCUGGAAACGGCUGGUAAUACCGCAUAAGCGCACAGGGGCGCAUGCCCUGGUGUGAAAAACUCCGGUGGUAUGGGAUGGGUCCGCGUCUGAUUAGGGCAGUUGGCGGGGUAAAGGCCCACCAAACCGACGAUCAGUAGCCGGCCUGAGAGGGUGGGCGGCCACAUUGGGACUGAGACACGGCCCAAACUCCUACGGGAGGCAGCAGUGGGGAAUAUUGCACAAUGGGGGAAACCCUGAUGCAGCGACGCCGCGUGGGUGAAGGAGUAUUUCGGUGUGUAAAGCCCUAUCAGCAGGGAAGAUAAUGACGGUACCUGACUAAGAAGCCCCGGCUAACUACGUG